GUUGUAUGGUUAAGUGACUAAGCGUACACGGUGGAUGCCUUGGCAGUCAGAGGCGAUGAAAGACGUAGUAACUUGCGAUAAGCCCAGAUUAGGUAGUAACAACCAUUUGAGUCUGGGAUUUCUGAAUGGGGAAACCCACGUGCAUAAGCACGUAUCCUUACCUGAAUACAUAGGGUAAGGAGGCGAACCGGGGGAACUGAAACAUCUAAGUACCCCGAGGAAAAGAAAUCAACCGAGAUUCCGAAAGUAGCGGCGAGCGAAAUUGGACUAGCCCUUAAGCUUUACACGCGUUAGACGAACGGUCUGGAAAGUCCGACGAUACAGGGUGAUAGUCCCGUAGUUGACGACGUGUGUUCAGUGAAAUCGAGUAGGGCGGGACACGUGAUAUCCUGUCUGAAUAUGGGGGGACCAUCCUCCAAGGCUAAAUACUACUGACUGACCGAUAGUGAACCAGUACCGUGAGGGAAAGGCGAAAAGAACCCCUGUGAGGGGAGUGAAAUAGAACCUGAAACCGUGUACGUACAAGCAGUAGGAGCAGGCUUUGUCCUGUGACUGCGUACCUUUUGUAUAAUGGGUCAGCGACUUAUAUUCAGUGGCAAGGUUAACCAUCUAGGGGAGCCGUAGGGAAACCGAGUCUUAACUGGGCGUUCAGUCUCUGGAUAUAGACCCGAAACCAGGUGAUCUAGCCAUGGGCAGGUUGAAGGUUGAGUAACAUCAACUGGAGGACCGAACCGACUAAUGUUGAAAAAUUAGCGGAUGACUUGUGGCUAGGGGUGAAAGGCCAAUCAAACCUGGAGAUAGCUGGUUCUCCCCGAAAGCUAUUUAGGUAGCGCCUCGGACGAAUACUACUGGGGGUAGAGCACUGUUAAGGCUAGGGGGUCAUCCCGACUUACCAACCCUUUGCAAACUCCGAAUACCAGUAAGUACUAUCCGGGAGACACACGGCGGGUGCUAACGUCCGUCGUGGAGAGGGAAACAACCCAGACCGCCAGCUAAGGUCCCAAAUUACUACUAAGUGGGAAACGAUGUGGGAAGGCUCAGACAGCCAGGAUGUUGGCUUAGAAGCAGCCAUCAUUUAAAGAAAGCGUAAUAGCUCACUGGUCGAGUCGGCCUGCGCGGAAGAUGUAACGGGGCUAAGUAGUAAACCGAAGCUGCGGCAAUGUGCUUUUGCACAUUGGGUAGGGGAGCGUUCUGUAAGCGGUUGAAGGUGUGUGGUAACGCAUGCUGGACGUAUCAGAAGUGCGAAUGCUGACAUGAGUAACGAUAAAGGGGGUGAAAAACCUCCUCGCCGGAAGACCAAGGGUUCCUGUCCAACGUUAAUCGGGGCAGGGUAAGUCGACCCCUAAGGCGAGGCCGAAAGGCGUAGUCGAUGGGAAACGGGUUAAUAUUCCCGUACUUCUUACAAUUGCGAUGGGGGGACGGAGAAGGCUAGGUGGGCCUGGCGACGGUUGUCCAGGUUCAAGUGCGUAGGCUUAAGAGUUAGGUAAAUCCGGCUCUUUCUAAGGCUGAGACACGACGUCGAGCACCUACGGGUGUGAAGUCAUUGAUGCCAUGCUUCCAGGAAAAGCCUCUAAGCUUCAGAUUGUAAGGAAUCGUACCCCAAACCGACACAGGUGGUCGGGUAGAGAAUACCAAGGCGCUUGAGAGAACUCGGGUGAAGGAACUAGGCAAAAUGGUACCGUAACUUCGGGAGAAGGUACGCUCUUGAUGGUGAAGUCCCUCGCGGAUGGAGCUGACGAGAGUCGCAGAUACCAGGUGGCUGCAACUGUUUAUUAAAAACACAGCACUGUGCAAAAUCGUAAGAUGACGUAUACGGUGUGACGCCUGCCCGGUGCCGGAAGGUUAAUUGAUGGGGUUAGACUUCGGUCGAAGCUCUUGAUCGAAGCCCCGGUAAACGGCGGCCGUAACUAUAACGGUCCUAAGGUAGCGAAAUUCCUUGUCGGGUAAGUUCCGACCUGCACGAAUGGCGUAAUGAUGGCCACGCUGUCUCCACCCGAGACUCAGUGAAAUUGAAAUCGCUGUGAAGAUGCAGUGUACCCGCGGCUAGACGGAAAGACCCCGUGAACCUUUACUACAGCUUGGCACUGAACAUUGACCCUACAUGUGUAGGAUAGGUGGGAGGCUUUGAAGCACGUACGCCAGUAUGUGUGGAGCCGUCCUUGAAAUACCACCCUUGUAGUGUUGAUGUUCUAACGUCGACCCCUUAUCGGGGUUGCGGACAGUGCCUGGUGGGUAGUUUGACUGGGGCGGUCUCCUCCCAAAGAGUAACGGAGGAGCACGAAGGUGGGCUAAUCACGGUUGGACAUCGUGAGGUUAGUGCAAUGGCAUAAGCCCGCUUGACUGCGAGAAUGACAAUUCGAGCAGGUGCGAAAGCAGGUCAUAGUGAUCCGGUGGUUCUGAAUGGAAGGGCCAUCGCUCAACGGAUAAAAGGUACUCCGGGGAUAACAGGCUGAUACCGCCCAAGAGUUCAUAUCGACGGCGGUGUUUGGCACCUCGAUGUCGGCUCAUCACAUCCUGGGGCUGAAGUCGGUCCCAAGGGUAUGGCUGUUCGCCAUUUAAAGUGGUACGCGAGCUGGGUUUAGAACGUCGUGAGACAGUUCGGUCCCUAUCUGCCGUGGGCGUUGGAAGAUUGAAGGGGGCUGCUCCUAGUACGAGAGGACCGGAGUGGACGAACCUCUGGUGUUCGGGUUGUGUCGCCAGACGCAUUGCCCGGUAGCUAAGUUCGGAAUCGAUAACCGCUGAAAGCAUCUAAGCGGGAAGCGAGCCCUGAGAUGAGUCUUCCCUGAUACUUUAAGUAUCCUAAAGGGUUGUCGGAGACUACGACGUUGAUAGGUCAGGUGUGUAAGUGCUGUGAGGCAUUGAGCUAACUGAUACUAAUUGCCCGUGAG
rnacentral:rRNA from 1 species